UAGAAAAAAACUGCCAGCAGAUCCUCAUCCCCCUCGGCCCCCGCGUCGCCUACCCCAGGCGACACGGGCGGCAGCCCCCAACCACACCCCGCCGCCGGCUCCCCUCCUCCAGCUACCCCCCUCGCCGCCGCCGGAGGCCACCACCGGGCGAAGCCCGCGCCGUGGCGGCGGCGGCGGGGUCUCCCUCCGUGGCGUUGAUCCCCUCGCGCGGGGCCCGCGGCUGGCGGCCGCCUCCUGAUGGUUCGUCGGCGGCCUCGCGGCCAGCGGCGCUUCUCCUGGUAGCGGAUCCGGUGGCUCCCCCCCCCCCCCCCCCCCCCCGCGCGCCCCAUGGUGGCCGUCCCGGCGGCGUCCGUCCGGCGUCAGAUCUGGCGCCGCCUCCGCAGUCCCUCCCCGUCGUCGUCACCGGUGCUGCCCUGGCGCGGCGCGUCGCCCUCCCCCUCCCCCGCCCUCCCCUGCGCUCCAUCUCGCCUGGCUACCCCCCUGCCCCUGGCUGGCCGGCGUCCUCCCGGCUGCAGGGCCUUGUCCCGGCCGUGCCUCCUCUCUGGUUGGCCGCGGUGGGGCUCUCCAAGGGAAUGCAGUGGCGCCUGCAUGAGGCGUAGCAGAUGUACGUGGAUGCGUGGAAAGCCAACAUCCCAGAAUUCAAGAAUCCCUUUGCUCCAUUGAGGACACCAUCACAGAUUCCACACAGGAUGUUCUAAAACAUGUUCGUCUUACCUGAAAGAGCACUGCUAUGCACACGAGUAUCGACGUACGAUCCACAGAUGACAAGUCAGGUAGACCAUAUGAUUAACUGGGUUUUUUUUUAAAUCUGUGUGGCUCCUAAUCCCGUUAAGCGAAAUCAUCCUGGAGCCAAUCGUGUGCAGAGCACUUUCGUACCUGAAAUGCCUACUUGUUAUGAAGAGAUCUAACAUGUAUCAUGUACUCCCUCUGUUUUAAAUUACUCGUCGUAGUUUUAAUUCAAAUUUGAACUAAAACCACGACGAGUAAUUUGGAACGGAGGGAGUAUGAAGUAAUAGGUGGAUCAUGUGUCCCUCUUACAUAAGGGUCAUGUUAAAUUGUCAAACACUCAGAUGAUCUUUGAUCGAGACAUAUAAACCACUAGCAUAUGUAUAUUUCUGAAACCAGUAUUUCAGCUGUCACGUGUCUUUGGCCGACGGCAAAUUGCAAACACAGCAAAGCUGGCUUCCCUUGAGAGAGAUCAAACUUGGGUAGCAGCAUAGCUCGAAUAAGUGUAUUGACUGAUUGACUAGCAACACAUGCGCACACAGAAGAUAGUUGAUUGGAUAGCCACUAGCAUGUAAACAUGCAUGUUGUUUAUAUUUCUUCAACACACUGUGAUUGUGAAGCUAUCUCUAUUUCUACAAUUCGCUGUUGAUCUUUUAUAGAUGUUCAUCUCCCGACCUUAUCUAUAUUAACUACUGGUCAAUUUUAUGAAUUACUUGUUGGUGAGAAUUCUUCUGCAUCUGUUGUUGUCUUCUUGGCAUCAUCAUUCAAUCAUAUUUUCUAGACUAUUGAGUUCAGGAAUAUUUGUUUGUUGCCUCAAUAUGUUGUAGAUUAUCUUAUUUUAUAGUUUCUUUUGUUGAGUGAAUAUCUCCAAAGUAUCGAACUUACACUGUCUGCUCACAGAGAGGAAAAGAGGGGCUGACUGUAGGAUUCUAAAAUCUUUCUUUGCUGCCAAACUUUAGUGAUUGCCCUGCUGGAGAUUGUCAUAUUUUUUUAAAAGGAAAGGUAUUAACCACUUAGCCAUGUAUUUAUUAUUUAGAUGAUUUAGGGACUUUUCUGGUCCUGGGCCACCUUGCAAUUCCUAAAAACAUUGCCAUUUAUUUGUGUCGAUUACAUAGGCACACUUGAUUGUAUACUUAAACAUAAGUUUUCUUUUUUGGAACAAGACCAUGUUUAAUGUUGAAUAUCUGGUGCAUCGCGUAUGUUGAGCAACUGCAAAAUGUACUAUGCCCCAGCGGAUCCGUUCGCCGCCGCUGAUCUCAUCGCUACGUCGACGACAACCAUUUGACGCCGCCGAACCCCUUACCAUCGAGUGUCUCCUCCAUUAUGAGUGCAAGCAACAGGAGGUGUCCUCUUGGCACAACGACGUGGUCAACUGGUCACUCCUUCAUCGACAGGUUCUUGCGCUCGGUGGAUUACUUCCACGGUUCCACAGUGGGAGGACACACUCAAGCUACUGUUCAGGCAACGUCUCCACCCACUCGCAAGUUCAACUACAUUGGCUGAGUGCAAGCAGGAUCUGUAGUAAUACUGAGUACUUACAAAUGCACAAAGCUCUGUCUACGUCUGCACAAGGUAGAAUCACAAUGAACUUGGCCCUUGAUUAUUUUUGUCAUAGAGUUGUAUUUCAGUGGAUUGACCUGUGGUCGGAAGUGUGCCUUGUAUACCACACCUUUGAAACUUUGUUAAAUCUGAAUUGUGUGGAUGGCAAGCAGUACAUCAGGCUUUGUUUCCUUUGUACUGAUUUAAUAUACCUGCUGGUUCGGCUGAUUAGUGCUACGCUGUGUGGAUGGCGCAAGCAGUACGUCAGGCUUUGUUUCCUUUUUACUGAUUUAAUAUACGUGCUGGCCCGGCUAAUUAGUGCUACGCUGUAUAAGUUCACAGUGGACUUGCAAUUGCUUAGUAACUGUAGUAGAUGGAAAUGUACCAACAUGUCGUAGUUAUGUUGUUAACUUGCUAUAUUGCUCCUUUCCUUUUGUAAGGUAUCUCAGACUGGGGGAUUUUUUGUUCAACAUUAGACGAAAUAUUCUGCUCAAUUUUUAUAUUCUACCAUUUGUUUCCCACACUUGUCUUUUGAAUUGUCCAUUUGUUAUUUGGAUUUUUUUUAGAUUUAACUGUGUACCCGACAUACGUACAAUAAUAAUUUUGUUUAGAUAUGAAAAUUAUAAUAUCAUUGUCAGGAACUUCUACACCCGAUUAUUUCUCAUAUAUUUGGGGUCUGAUGCAGCAAAGGUAAUAUCUGCUUUGUGUUUUUAGAUUGAUAACAAUGAAUUAUUCCAGAUGUAAAAGGAAUUGCUAAAAUCAACUAGAACUGAUGCUACAUAAGUUUUUGCUUUUCAUAAUUAAAUUAUUUCCCUCUUGAUAAAAAAAAACCAUACUAUUCUAGAGAACUUAGUUCACAAGACAGAAAAGAAGCAAAGGUGUAUUAUGCAACUUUCAAUAAGGUGGAAAUAAACAAGACUAGAAGUGGGUGGAGAGAGAGAUAGAGAUGUUACACAUGAUUCAUUCCUGAACCACUAGAACUUGUUGUUUUUUCUCUCAUCCGUUGGCCAUGCCCAUCCUUAGAUUGGGCUUGAUUUGUAUUUAUGCGUAACUGUGCACAUUUUGGUCAGCUAUGUGUCAUGUUUGGGCUUUUCUGCGCUGUCUCGGCUGAAAGCCAUUUUUAUCGGAAUGUUGGUUGGUGCAUAUAGUUUUACUGCCAUGUAGAAGAAUGAAGUACUUAAGUGCUAUUUGUUUCUCUGCGAACGAAACUAGGUCUCUUUGUUACAAGUAAAUCAGGAUAAGAAUGGAAAUGACCCUGUUAGAUCCCCAUAAGUGGUACCGCAGUAGCCAAGAACAGAUUGACGUAAUCAACGGAUGAAUUGGUGUGUGUUAACCAUUUAAUUUGAACAUGGUAUGGCAAUUGUUGCACUCUGUUUUAGUUAGUUGAAACUGAUAGCCAGGAACGCAUCCUUGUAGUACUUUUUCGUUAAAUUUGUAAAUAUACAUUUUGCUUCAAGCAAUUUGCUAGCUAUUCAAGUUGGCAACUAGCUGGCAUCAUGUGAUGUUUCUUUUCCAUGUUAUUAAGACUUAUACAUAACUUAUUGUUUACAUGGUGGUCCAUUAUAACUAUUGUAAACUAAAUUUUUUCAACAAGGAGAUGUCUGCAUAUAACACCUUCAUAAUUGUUAUUACAUGACUAUAUGUUGUGAAAUCAUUUUUCAUAUGUCUAUUUUUUUUUCAUCACCCCCAUUUAGAAAUGAGCCUUCUGUUAACUCCUGAUCUUCCAAGUCAUUUUCUGUUCUGACAAACUUGUACCUUUUCAGACAGAUCAUUGUCAGCGAGUAAACAAUUGUUCAAUUAAAUACUGGCAUUAUGUGCUCUAUAUUGGGAAUUUCGAAUGAAUAGUUUUGACAUAUUUUUUUCAGGAGAAUUAAUCGGAGCUUGAGUAAGCAACUGUAUCUACUUAUUUUGUUAAUCAGAUUUGUAGCACCCGAUAUGUUUAGGCAGUAGACUUAUUGGUCCAGAGAAGGAUUCCCAUGAUUCACCAAAAAAUUGUUGUACUAGGGAGUUUGCUUGUUUUGAUAGAAAUAGUAGUAAGGUGUGUAUUUGUACGUAUAACAUGUUUGGUGAGAGAGAGACUUGGAUAUUUCUCCAUCCAUAUUUUACUUGUUCUGAUGUAGACAUGCAAACAAGCCAAAAAUGAUCCCUAUGGAAUAAUGUUCCUGACAAGAGAUAGGGCUUUGUUCUAUAGCAUUUAUGCUUUAUGAGCUGCAUUUAUAAAUGGAUUAUAUCAGUGAUAUUAGCUAUGUGUGUGGACGGAUAUACAAAUGUGUGAGAUAAUUUGGGGUUGAUAGGAAAUCAUUAUUUUGAUGUUUUGUUAAUUGAAGUUUGAUCUUAUGUUCUAACUGCAAACAUGUGUGCCACGUUUCCUCAAUGUGAAGCAAAAGAAGGUCGUUGCGGUGGUCGGCUACCAGGAGUAUCUUGUUUGGCCUUGUACCAUGUCGGAUUGUCACUAUUUUUAAAAUCUACUUAUGACUAUUUUGUAAAGGACAAAUUGACAGAUUUGGCAAAAAAUGGGCGUAUUUGGAGCCGGAUGGAAAGAUUGGCAGAUUUGGAGCAGGGUGACGAUGGAGCAGCCUUUUGUCACAAUAACAAAAGAGCUGAAGUGGAAGGGCUCAUGGAAGAAGAGAUGGAAUGACAAUGAUGCAACCUUGACGUGUGGCUGUUGUAUGUAUUUGAGGUACGUAGGAAAAGAACUCUUAAUGAGGUAAAGUGAUGGGGACUCAUCUAAGGCGGAGAUGGCAACUGAGCCCAGAGGCAAACAUGGCAUUGUUCAUAGUCAGUUUGUGAAUGAACAUGUGGUGGAAAGAAUGUUUCCAUGUCCAUAUGCCUCCUUUUCUUAUUAUUCGUACUAAGGUGAGGUGCCUUAUAUCUCAUCAGUUGUCGAUAUGGAGUUCCCCAUGGUGUCCUAUUUGGAGCUCUAUUUAUGAUCAUCUCAUAAUUCAGCAUCAGCCUUACAUUUAUCCUUCCAAUCUUAAAGAUCUAUGGAAACCUAACAAUAAAGCUUGGAAUGAAAAUCUUAUUUACUCUCUGUUUGAUGCUGAGGCAGCAAGCAUUAUUCUCCAAACCCCCAUAAUUCAAACGGAGGGUAAAGAUAUCAUGUGUUGGAAACACACCCCAACAGGUAAGUGCACUACUAAGAGUGCAUACAAGCUAUGUGUACAGGUUCUUCAUCAAGAAUGAGCUCCUCAACGAAGGCAGGUGUUUACUCUUGUAAAAACACUUUUUUGCUAGGUUUGGAAAGACAAUAGCAUUGCUCCGAGAAUUCAGACGUUUGCUUGGAGGCUUCUUGAGAGAGCAGUUCCAACAGGCAUGCGGGCUGGCGGGAAAUGACAAACAUUUUGGAAGAAAAUAGGGACAUCCAACUCAGGUGCAUCAAGCUGCUCAAGCUAUAAUGAAAGGGUUUCAGGUAGAGUCCAAAGUUACAGGUUUUAUCGGUCCACCCUUCUGACAGAUAAUCAGGUACUUGCAAGAGCUACAAAUGCUAGCGAAUUUCAAACCCGGGACAUUGUGAAAUCCAUUCACAGAUAGCAGAAUACUUCAUUGUUUCCAAGUCUCUUAUGUUAAAGAUAUAUCACAUCAAAAGAGAUUUGAAUGGUGUUGCUCA